UACCUUACUAAUUGGCCUUUAAUUCAGAAUAAACAGCCAUUUUUGAAAGGAGAACAAAGAGGAUAAAGAGAUCAGAGAUGGGCGAAGGAAGCUGCCCUUCUGUUUUGGUAUAGAAAAGGAAGAAAUACCUGGUCCAUUUGAGAGCUCUGUGAGUCUGAGGGUCUGGUGGGAAGGCAUCAUCCCAACCGUCCACCAUCAGUGAGCAAGUACAACAGAUUAAGAAGUUGGAGAAAUUGACUAAUGAGCUCCAGAAGAUGACAUGAAAAUGCAACUGUAAUAUCCUCUGGACAAACUAAUUUUCAUAUUUGGCUCACAGAGGCAGGACAUGAAGAAAGGAAAAAAGUUUGAUAAGAAAAUAUUUAAUCUCUCAAAAAAACAGAAGCUUUAUUCAGAGUUUAUAACAGUGUUUUGAAUAAAAGUCUUGGGAUAUGGCAA